GGUGGAGCCCCGCGAGGGGGCGGUGCCGAACCCGGAGCUGCGUGGGGAAGGAGGUGAGGGCGCGCGGGGAGGAGCCGGGGGCGCGCUGGGUGGCGGGUGCUGGGGCCAGUCGCGCAUAGGUGCGGACUCGGGUUAGCCAGACUCUGGACCUGUGCGGGCUGGCGCGGGCGCCCUUCCCCACCCCGCGCGGACUUCGGAACUGGCCAAAGACGCGCAGGAGCCGUCGGCGGAGCGCGUUUCCACGGGGCGCGGAGCACAAGCGGAGCCCCGAGGAUGCGAGCCCUGCCAGCCCUGGACGCGCCCCAGAACGAGCGACUGCUGACCCGGGACCCCGCGGCCCCCAGGGUCCGGGACGCGGCGGGGCCAGCACGCAGGAGCGCCGUGGAGAGGCUGGCGGCCGACCGCGCCAAGUACGUGCGGGGCCCUCCGAGAGCCGGCGCGGGCCCAGCGGCCGCGGGCAGCAACCCCGCGGCGAGCGAAGGGACCGCGGGCGAUCCUCGGCCUCCGCCUCGCGUCCCCGGUGCCGUGGCGCGCAGGGCCAUAGCUCGGAAGCCGCUGAGGCCCGACUCGCUGGUCAUCUACCGGCAGAAAUGCGACUUCGUCCGAGGCCAGGGCGCCGACAGCUCCAGGGCGGGCCUGGUGAAGAAGCUCUUCCAGGGCCCGGGCAAGGACAAGACGUCGCUGCCCCCGGAGACGCCCCAGGUGGGAGAGGAGAUCGGGGCCAGGCGCGAGGAGCCUGUCCCGUCCAAGCCCGGCUCUGCGGCAGCCUCCGCGGCCCCCGGCGUUCCCGCGCCCCCGGCGCGCCCAGCACCCUGUGGGACGCCCUCCCCAGUGCCGGCUGCGCCCCGGGGCCCGGAGCUGCGAGGAUCGAGGCGCGGGGGGCUGCAGCGGUCGCAGUCAGACCUCAGCUCCCGCUACUCCGCGUCCUUGGCCGAAUGGGACACCUUCUUCCAGUUCUGCGGCCUGGAACCGGAGGUCGUGGAAGCUCUCGGGAGGGAGAACUUCUCCGCGGGGUCGGACCGCGUCACACUCAAGGUCCGCAGCGUGAGCGUCGCCACCUCCGACAGCGGCUUCUCCCGGCAGAGCGGCAGCGAGGCGGGGCUGCAGGAGGAAGGGCUGGCGGAGCAGGUGCCCAGCACCACCUCGGUGGUCGAGAGGAACGCCCGCAUCAUCAAGUGGCUGUACACCUGCAGGAAAGCCAGGGAGAAGCCCGGCCAGGCGCUGCAGGGCCCGGCGUGAUCGCUCGCGCUCUGCGGAGACCUGGACCCCAGAUACAGGACGGAGCAUCCGUGGACAUGCCCUAUAAGCUGGUGGGGUAGAGCGUGUCUCUUUGUUUGCGAAGAGGCCGUGGGGGAUAGGACAAGCUGAGAUGCUCCUGACUUUCUGCUCCUUUUGUUUGGACUAGCUGAGAGGCUCUCCAGUCUCCAUGUGAGAGCGCACUUUAGGGGAACCAGCAGCUGGAGCAGCUAGAAAGCCGCUCUGUUCUGUCUUCGGGCGGGCCCCUGGGCCUUUCAGAGAGAUUUGUGCAUGGAAAGGGUGGAACCCGUUUGCCUUCUCCUAUGUAUUUGGACCGCCUGCCUUGUUUUCAGUGUGUCAUUCCCCUCUGUGGUGGUGAGCAGCGGGCUGGCCUACGAGAAAGAUCACUUUUCUCACUGUCCCGUGAGUUGGAGGCAAACAGAAACUUCAAAAGUCCAGAAAAAGGCCUCAGGGAGAUGGAUGUUUUUUCUGCUGUAGAAACCAGAUACCUGUCUUUGCAAAGGCUACUGGCUUCUUUUCAGAAUUAAAAUGCAUACGGAAGUGAGGUUUCCAGACUGUGGGGGCUCCUUGAAGUAUGUCCUGGAUGACUGGGGACCCGGGGCCAUCCUCAGUGCCACAGGACUUGUCCCGUGCACCCAAGUGACCACACAAUUGCUGCUUUCCUGGGAAUGGAGCACCCCACUGAAGAGACGUACAGAGUUCAGAAGGUUUGAGAUAUGGUGGAGAAAGGGGACCUUGGAACUUGGAAAUCAGCUGAGUUGUAGCUGUUAAGACAGCUAGAGCUUGGGGAGGUACUUUCUUGUUUGAAGCGGAUCUGGUUUUGCUCCCAGAGGGCAGCAGAGGAGGGAAGGCUUCUUGGAAAUGUUUUCAGGGCUCUCUGUUUGACUGGCUUGGUGACAAAGAGGUACCAUGAUGCAUUGUAAUGAUAUUUAAAUUGAUUUUAAAAAGAAAAAAAAAGUCCAAGAGUAGGAAAGCCAAGCACAGAUACCAUAGCAUUUACUGCUUUUCAUCAGUCUGGGCUGCUGGGCCCCAAUUAAACCAAAGUUCUGUAGCCGUGAGAAGGUGUAUUGUACUUCAGCAGUGUGGGUAGCAGAGAGCAAACACAGUAACACGCUGUCAUGGACACCUCCGUUCUGAGCAUCACUGCCACCAAAACUGCAGAAAGUACUCUUAAAGUAAUUUUAGUAAUGCCACUCCCUUUGGGUUGCAGACGUGUGGACUGCCAUUGGAAGGGAAGUUGGAGUUGAUACUGCUAAAAAUGCCUUUUUGGGAGCUGGCAGGAGACCUAGGAGCUCCGUUCCCUGCCAGCAUGACAGUACACCUCCACAGGGCUCUGGUUCCCCAACUGCCCAAAGCUGGGAGAGCCCAGGGUCCACACAGCCCAGCUGUUUAACCCCCACCUCUGUGGAUCACACAGUCAUCCCUGGUUUGGCACCAGCUCACCCUUUUCUGCCCAGGAUGUGUCUGAGAUGCGGGGCAGCCUCAGGGCACCUGGCUUCUCCAGGAUCAGAACCCUGUGGGCAGGGAGUUACUGACUCUCGCCCACUCCUCACACCCAGACCACGUAGAUAUCAGAUUCAGAGCCUGUGGAGAGAAAUUUUAUAUCCAUGAUGACAACCCAGAAGACUUUGUAACCCAGCUGACUCUUCCAAAGCCUGCUGUGUUUUAAUGAAAUACAUGUCCUCAGGAACAACAUUAUUAUGGAGAAGAGUAUGGAGGGGAGAAAGAUGGUUUCUCAGUGGUAGAACAUUUUAUAAACCAAUGCAUUUUGAUAUGUUCAUGUACUUGUUUAAUAUUGUGUUCUAUUUUUGUAACUUCUACUGUGAGGGGGGUCUUUGAGCUACUUAUUAUUAUUAUUAUUUUUAUUUUGCAGUUACUGGUCUUUAGAUAGUUUGUCUUAACAUCGUAUGGUUUUAGUUUUUAUCAGUUUUCCAUCAUUUUCUCCGCGGUUGUGUUUGUGUGUGUCAUUUCAUUGGAUGUCCCACUCCUGUCUGUAAGCAUAGUGCUCCCUGCUCUCUGUACCAUAGUGAUUUGUUUUCAAGUAAGUCACACAUAGGGAUUUUUGGAGCCUCUGUUGGCCCGCUGAUGUACCUUUCUCAUCGUAGACUAUUUAAAGACAGCAGAUCCAUGCUUUAAGAAUUUCCCCCCGUUGUUCCUCUCAAAAGGCUGCUAUUUUAGGGUUCAAUGGAUUGCAGUUAGUUUAAAAACAUAAUGUCAAAGAUGAGAGUUUUUUUUUUAAAGGGUCUCUACAUAUGCCCAUUCCCUUACUUAAGUAAGGUGUUGCAUUAAUUGUACAUGUCAGUGCUUCGGGCAAACCUAUUUUGUGCCUUUCUACUCUCUAAGUAGGGUGAACUAGAACUAUCAUCAUAUUUGCCUUAGAUCGGAAUGGUGCAGACUCAUAAUUCAUAUAAUAGAUAAACGUAUAUAUAGACAAGCUGGUUGCGUUUAAAAACACCAAGAGCUUCCGGAAGGAUCUGUGUGUCCAAGGAGGUACGGGGAGGAAUUCAGCCACAGGGAGUUCAGAAGCAGAUGUCAGAGGCGGCUGCGAAGAGGAGGAACACGGCGUCCCUGGGCUCCAACAGGACCAGUGAUGCUCCCUUUCCUCCACUAAGAUUCGUGCCUCAGGGUCAGGUUCCACGUGUGUGGGUACAGGUUAAGAAGUCCCUUCUUAAUCCUGAAUGACCCCAGUUUGCUGAGUGACUUUGAGAACAUCCAACUUUGAAGCUCGGUCUGAAAACAAAUCUUGUAAUUGUUUUUCCCAAGGAUAGCAAUGGUUACUGCUAUGAAGUAGUUUCAUUUGUUCAUGAAAAGUAAUAUGAUUAAACACAAUGAAAAGAAAGAGUUAUUGAUAAAGCAAGGAAAAUAGCUAGAUAGUGUCUAUUUCUUUAAUAUAUGGCUACAGAUAAGCCGUGCCUCUGAGAGGUAUUUGUGUUACUGUAAAGUUUCCUCGUUGUGUGUAUAUCUGUUAAACCACUGGUCACUGACACUGAAGGAAGAAGGCUUUAUUAAACAUUGCCCUUUGCAGUAGGUUCAGAGUUCAGUGCCAUGGUUACGGUUGGUGAUGCCACAAAACAUCAGGCCCAGGCCGUUGUUACGGUCGUCUCAUAACCACUGCCUUGCUAGAGUGCAAUGGUAUGUAUUCUGUAUUAAAGAAAUAAAGUAUUUUUGUCAUUUAUUCCUGGUUAUGAAUCCAUGACAGAGACACUGAAGCUAGAGUGUGCAUAUUGUAGUCACUCACGUCUCCUGUGGUCUCCCUUUCUCCCCGAUGUCAGAUUAUCAGCUGAAAUGAGGAAGCAUCGUAGGCCGGUCCGGUGUAGGCAAGUCAGAGGGCGUGGAAGUCUCCGGCUCUCCCCGCAGAGCGAAUGCAGUCGAAACGGUCCGGGAUAUUAAGCACACUGUCUUUCUUUGUUUCAUCAGUCUUUUGCUCCAUAAUAUUUUUUACCCAUCUUUAUUAAUAUCAUAUUGGAAAAUGGGCACAAAGAUAAAUAAGAAAGCACAAUUUAUAAGCUUUCGUGUUAGUUAAUUCAUCAGAGUUUGAAGAGUUUGAAGGCAAACUCUGUGAACACCAAGUUUGCUCUCAGCAUCUGCUCAGACUGGAGAGGUAGGAGUGAGGCAGGAAGGGCGGCUGGAUCCCUAAACCCAGCCGUGCUGAGGUCAACUGGCUUCCUUUUCAGUCCUUCCGUGGCUUCUGCCCAAACCUAGGCCAGCCUCUAAAGACAGGCAUUCUUUGGAGAAGAAAUGAACAGCUCUGCAUUUCCAUGAAGACAAUGGACAACCCCCAGGCACCCUAGGAGUGGUCUUAGGUAGCUCUAGAAACAGUCCUGAUCACACAGCAGAUGCCAGGUCCUUCCUUCAGGUAAACCUGAGUUCUUACCUUUCAGUUACCCUUUGUGAAAACUCAGCAAAACAGAGGCAUCACUUAAAGUGAGGUGUUUAAACUUCGCUUGCAUUUUGAGUAAUGAGAUAGAUUUAUGUAUUUGAACGUUCCAUGUUGGAAACACUGAACAAGAAGGAAAUUGAGUUCUCAAGCAAGCUUAUCCUUCUGGCCACAGAAGUAGCAGGGAGCAGUGCAGAGAGAAAAUGCAGACACACCAAAAAAUGUGUUCCUACCCAGUGAUACUUUCUU